UAGCAUACAAAACGUACAUUUAUCAGACUGCUUUGUUUUAGUUGUACUUCGUUGUAAUUUAUCAGACUACUUUGUUGUAGUAGCUCGUAACUUAGCUUGCCAGCACACAAUUCCCGCCUAGCGCUGUAUGGAGUCUGCCUUCACAAUUUAAAAAAUUAACGGUUGGUGGCUUGUUUCAAUCAAUAGUUGGUAAGUUGUCUGAUUUUUGCAAACUGCAUGCCACAAAACCUUUGGUAAAAUCAGUGUUUACGCUUUUCUGACUCUGACCUUUAUCAAGUUCAAAUGUAGCCUACUUUUGCACAGUGAAAAUAGUAGAAAAUUUAUUUAGUGUUAAUUUUAAGAGUUUAACAGACAAGUUCGCCUUCACAAAUUUUGAAUAUGAUGGUUAGUGGCAUUUUAGUCGCGAAAUAAUUUACCUUUUCAAAGCUGCACUGCACCAAACCUAAACGUUUCUGACUCUGUACUUUCCAAGGGUUAGCCUAUUGUGUACUUCACUUGUGUAAAAUUGCUUUAUUAUUUUAUAACGUAUAGAGUAGUUGACCAACCUGAAUUGAAAAUGAACUGUAGUGCAAGAAUAAAUCUUACUGUUUUCCAAGCUUGUGUUAUUCAGAUUGACUGUUUUUAAGUGAAGUAAAAGUAAAAACUGUUCUGCUAGCUUUCUGUCCUCAUGGCUUUUGUGUUAUUACAGUCUGACGAUUGAAGGAGCAGUAGCAUGCCGAGAGAUCAUCCAGCACUGCACUAAAGACAACCAGUAAAGGCUUCCCACCUGACUUCCUACACGACCUGUUUGAAGGUGUCAUUUCAGUGGAGUUGGCACAUUGUUUAAAGGCGAGGGACCAUGGCCAGCACUCUUUCAUGAGACACAGCUCUACUUUGAAUUUCAUCGGAUCACCAAUCAGAAUCUGCCACAUGUGUUUUAUGCUGCGCUGGAUGAUUAUGCUCCUCAGCUGACUGGACUUUACAAAAAGAGGAAAACUGGACGGGUCGGUGAAAGGAUGGAGC
ensembl:lncRNA